rnacentral:rRNA from 1 species
UACAGAGGUGGCAAGCGUUGUUCGGAAUUACUGGGCGUAAAGGGCGCGUAGGCGGUUCGUUAAGUCCUGUGUGAAAUCCCCCGGCUCAACUGGGGAACUGCACAGGAAACUAGCGGGCUUGAGUUCGGGAGAGGGAAGCGGAAUUCCACGUGUAGCAGUGAAAUGCGUAGAGAUGUGGAGGAACACCGAUGGCGAAGGCAGCCUCCUGGGCCAGCACUGACGCUCAUGCACGAAAGCGUGGGGAGCAAACAGG